UACGGAGGAUGCAAGCGUUAUCCGGAUUUAUUGGGUUUAAAGGGUGCGCAGGUUGUUUGAUAAGUCAGUGGUGAAAGUCUGUCGCUUAACGGUGGGAUUGCCAUUGAUACUGUUAGACUUGAAUAUGGAUGAGGUAGGCGGAAUGUGUAGUGUAGCGGUGAAAUGCAUAGAUAUUACACAGAACACCGAUUGCGAAGGCAGCUUACUAAUCCAUCAUUGACGCUGAGUCACGAAAGCGUGGGGAUCAAACA
rnacentral:rRNA from 1 species